UCCACCGUCCACAUGCCUCUCCAACCGUCUAUCUGGUCCUGAGGUCCUCUCCAACCGUCUAUUCGGCCGUCAAGUCCUCUCCAACCGUCCACUAGACCAGGAUUUUGAUCUACCAAACAUUUCGAGCCCAAGUCUCCACUUAAAAAACACGAGCCACGCCAGACGACAAGGACAGACGAUCGAUUUGUGUAUCCAGACGUUUCGAGUUAUCCCCCCUGCGCCCCCAGGCAGACCGCGUCACUGGAUGCUAAAAGCGUCCCCCCCCCCACCACCAGUCGGAGCCAGACGCCACCCCACGGCCUAGUGGACACUAGCGUCGUCUGAGCUGUUUUCUUGGCAGACGACUGCGUUGGGUACUCAUUGCACGUGUGGCGGAUAGUGGACACACAACACGUGUGGCGGAUAGUGGAGACACAACACGCAGAUGGUGGAUAGUGGACACACAACACACGUGUGGCGGGUAGUGGACACACAUAACACAGGUGGCGGGUAGUGGAUACUUGUCACACGGACGGUGGAUACUGCACAUACAACACACGGACGGCGGAUACUGGACAUCAGAUGUCAAUUCUGGAUUAUUGAAGUGUUGAUUUGAGCUAGAACUAAGAGAGGAUUUUAAAAAAUUUAAAAAUUUUCUGCCGGCGAGCUGCAGGAAUUCCUCGAAGGUGCCAGACUUUGUUUUUUAACUGGUGGAAUUUUGUUGGAGUGUUGGAGAGACAGAACACACAACGUGGAUGUUUUUCUAGGAAGUCAACAAAGUCAUGGUCACGGUCACGAUCAAAGGUCACGCUGUGCUUCCAGCCUCAAGGUCAUAAGGUCACGUGACGGUAUCGCGGCAGUAAUCAGCAAUAAUCGACUUGUACCUGCUGGUGUGAGGGGCUGAGUCACGUGAUAUCAUGACGUAAUUGACGUCAGUUAGCUGGGGAGGAUAUGAGUGUUCCG